GGGUAUAUAGCUCAGUGGUAGAGCGCAUGCUUAUUUAGCAUGCGUGAGAUCCUGGGUUCAAUCCCUAGUCCCU
rnacentral:tRNA from 1 species